GAUCCUGGCUCAGAUUGAACGCUGGCGGAAUGCUUUACACAUGCAAGUCGAACGGUAGAGGGGGCAACCCUUGAGAGUGGCGAACGGGUGAGUAAUAUAUCGGAACGUGCCCAGUCGUGGGGGAUAACGUAGCGAAAGUUACGCUAAUACCGCAUACGACCUAAGGGUGAAAGCGGGGGAUCGCAAGACCUCGCGCGAUUGGAGCGGCCGAUAUCAGAUUAGGUAGUUGGUGGGGUAAAGGCUCACCAAGCCAACGAUCUGUAGCUGGUCUGAGAGGACGACCAGCCACACUGGAACUGAGACACGGUCCAGACUCCUACGGGAGGCAGCAGUGAGGAAUAUUGGACAAUGGGCGCAAGCCUGAUCCAGCCAUGCCGCGUGCAGGAUGACGGUCCUAUGGAUUGUAAACUGCUUUUGUACAGGAAGAAACACCUCUACGUGUAGAGACUUGACGGUACUGUAAGAAUAAGGAUCGGCUAACUCCGUG
rnacentral:rRNA from 1 species